rnacentral:misc_RNA from 1 species
CCACCCUCACGCGCCCCUUUAGUGCGUGGUGUUGGGGCAUACUGCGGCUGCCGCGAGGCACCGCAGGCCCUGAAACCCAGUGGCGGGCCGGCAGAAGGCUCCGAGCGCAGUAAGCAUCACGCCCUCGCUCCGGACGCCCCUGCUGGCAGCUCGCCCUGCGGCGGAAACGUUUGCAGCAACCAAUUUUAAGG